rnacentral:lncRNA from 1 species
GGUGCCGAAGGUCUUUAAGGUCGUCAGCUCACCUACUGCCCAGCCUGUGGUGUCAAAUGUCCUGCCUCUUCAAAUGUGUUUGGAUCGAUGAUGAGUCCCCCCAAAAAAACAUUCCUUGGAAAAGCUGAACAAAAUGAGUGAAAACUCAUACCGUCGUUCUCAGCGGAACUGAGGUCCAGCGCGUUGCCUCCAGCAGGGACUGUUGGAGUGAGGGAGAGCUUCCACUAGUCCCUAUAGGUUCCACCACCCAGGGCAUCCGCAGGUGCACCUCACCUAAGAGGGUGGCCAGAGACAGUGUCUUGUCAUGACAUCAGAAGCCCCAUGAGGAAGAGGAGGAGCCUGUGCUCCUGCCAGAGGUGGUGGCUGUUAGGGACAGUUGCCGUGGGAGGUCCGCUGCCUGCUGUCAAGGAAGAUGGUCGAUGCUUCUGAGAAACAGGCCCUGCGGGUUCCUGGAUUUGGUGUGGCCUGGCAUCCACGGUGCACCCCGUGCUGGCGGGUGGCCCAGGACGGGGCAGUUGCCUUGAGAGGCCCACCGCCUGCUGGCAUGACAGAUGGUCAGUUCUUCCGAGCAGUGGAAUCUCCAUGGAGUCGUGGAGUCGGUGUGGCCUCGCAUCCACAGUGCACCCUGUGCUGGUGGAUGGCUCAGGACAGGGCAGUUGCCGUGGGAGGCCUGCCGUCUGCUGAAAGGAAGAUGGUUGAUGCUUCUGAGCAAUGAAGGCCCCAUGGAGUCCUGGAUUCGGUGUGGCCUUGCAUCCGUGGUGCACCCCGUGCUGGUGGAUGGCUCAGGACGGGGCAGUUGCCAUGGGAGGCGCAGGCCUGCUGGAAGGAAGAUGGUCGAUUCUCCCAAGCAACAAAGGCCACGUAGAGUCCUGGUUUCAGUGUGGCCUGGUAUCCACAGUGCACCCCGUGCUGGUGGGUGGCUCAGGACGCACACUCAUUUCCUCUGCACCUUCCUGGUGUCAUUGGCAUGGAAGGAAGGCCCUUGUCCAAGAAGGAUGGUCUUCGUCUUGUGUGAUCUUUGAGAUGCCAUGAGGCCCCUGGAUACAAAUGGUGUGGGCUCCUUUGGAGGCUUUUGGAUUUCUCCUGAAUGUGGCGUUGGUAUGGAAGGAAGGCCAGUGACCGCAAGGGAUGACUUUGAUCUUGGGAGAUUUUUGGAGAUGGCAAAGUGCUUCUAAACAUGUUUGGCAUGGUCUCCUUCAGGCUGGUGGAUACCUCAGGAUGGUGGCGUUGGCAUGGAAGGAAGGACUGUGUCUGUGAGGGAUGAUCAUCCUCUCAUGUGAUCCUUGGAGAUGCCAGGAAGCCCCUUGACACAUGUGGCAUGGGCUCCUUCAGAGGCUUUUGGAUCCGUCGUGAAUGUGGCAUGGGCAUGCAAAGAAAGACAGAGGCUGCAAGGGAUAAACUUCAUCUUGGGAGAUCCCUGGAGAUGGCAGGGAACCCAUGGACACAUGUGGCAUGGGCUCCUUUGGGUGCCGGUGGAUCCCUUCAUACGGUAGUGUUGGUGUAAAAGGCAAACCCGUGUCAUGAGGGAUGGUCAUCAUCUUGUGUGAUCCUUGGAGAUGGCAGGAAGCCCUGGACAUACAUGGUGUGGGGGCUCCUCCAGAGGCUGUUGGGAUCCUCCUGGAUGUGGUGUGGGCAUGGAAGGAAGGCCAGUGGAGACAAUGGAUGAUCUUGUUCUUAGCAGAUCACUGGAUGUGGCAGGGAGUCCUAGGACAUGUGUGGUGUGGGCUUCUUCAGGUGCUGCACACUCGUAUUUCCGCUGCACUUCCCAGGUGGUGUUGGCAUGAGGAAAGGAGGUAUCUUCGAGGGACAAUCUUCUUCUUGUGCGAUCCUUGGAGAUGCCAUGAGGCCCCUGGACACAUGUGGUGUGGGCUCCUUUGGAGGCUGUUGUAUCCCUUCUGAAUGUGGCGUGGGCAUAGAAGGAAGGCCAGUGGCCACGAGGGACAAUCUUGGUCUUGGGAGAUCCUGGAAAUGAUAGGGAGUCCCUUGAUAUGUGUGGCAUGGGCUCCUUCAGGUGCUAGUGGAUUCCUUAGGAUGGUGGUGUUGGCAUGAAAGGCAGGCUUGUAUCAUGAGGAAUGAUUGUCAUCUUGUCUGAUUCUUGGAGAUGGCAGGAAGCCCCUGGAAACACAUGGUGUGGACUCUUUCACAGGCUGUUGAAACCCUCCUGAAUGUGUUGUGGCCAUGGAAGUAAGGCCAGUGGCUACGAGGGACAGUCUUCAUCUUGGGAGAUCCCUAGAGAGGGCAGGGAGCCCCUUGACAUGUGGAAUGUGAUCUCUGUUGGGUGCUGGUGGAUCCCACAGGUGGUCUGGCAUGGAAGAAGGCCAGAGGCUGCGAUGGAUCAUCUUUGUCUUGGGAGAUUCCUGGAGAUGGUGGGGAGCCCCUGGGCACGUGCAGCAUAUGUGGCGUGGGCUUCUUCAGGUGCUGGUGGAUCCCUCAGGAUGUUCUGUUAAAGAGUCUGAAAAUGGAGCGUAGAAGACAUGCUUCGAUUUCCAGGAUGGUUGUGUUUUCCAGAGAGGCGGAGGUAAACCACUGGCGCAGCCCUGCCUCCCACAGAUAAUUCCGGGUGCAGUGUUUCAUAUCUAGACUUGGACUUCUAUCCUACCAUACUUCUUUGUGUGCAGUUCAUUGUGGAACCAGCACAGAUUUUCAUACGAAAGUUAUUUCUUUUUAACCUCAAAAAGUGACAGAAUGGAGUGUAUCAUGAAAAAGUCUGACAUCAAAACCUCAAAAUGUGAUAUUGAUUGGGUGAGAUAGAAUUCCAUGGAAUUUCAUUGCCAAACCAGUGAAGUGCUAAUUUUGACAUUUGUACCAGCUAACGUAGCUGUGAAGAAACACACCAAUACACUUCUAAGGACAGCAUAGACCAAGAUCUAGGUUUCAUAUGGAUGAAUUUAUUCUUCCCUUUGAGGCAAGACAAGAAGGAAAGAAAGUAUUGGGAAUAAUGCUGCCCUCCCAUCCUCAAGGGCCAGUGGGAACUCUAAUAUUGAUUGGUUUUCACAGAAUUCCAUGGACUUUAACUGCUGAACCAAUGAUGCACUGAUUUUGUCACUUGUACCAGCUAACGCAUCUGGGAGGCAACAAAACAAUACUCUCCUGAGGUUAAUGUGGACCAAAAACUAGAUUUCAUAUAAAAGAGUUUAUUCCUUCUACUUGAGGUGUGACAUGAAGGAAAGUAAUGGAAAUAAUUCUGCCCUCCCAUUCUCAAGGGCCAGGGGGAAUUCAAAUAUUGAACGGAAGUGAUUUUGGAAUUGCAUGGAAUUCUCACUGCCAUCCCAAAGAAAUGCUGAUCUUGUCACUCUUACCUGUUUCAUUCCCUGGGGGCAGAACAAAAGGACGCACUCCAAAGAUCGGCAUGAACCAAGAACUGGGUUUCAUAUAAAAUAUUUUAUUCUGUCCUCUUGAGAUGUGACAUGAGAAAAGUAUUGAGAAUACUUCUAUCACCUCAUCUUCAAGAAUCCGUAGGAAUUCUCCCAUGGUGGACUUUACGGUUAACCUGAACAGGUCUUGGAAAAAGGACUUUAAACAUUCUCCUGUUCUGUGGAAUAAGUAUACUUUUUUCUGGACAUACACCUUGUCAGUUCCAUGUGAUACUAGAGUUGCAUAGAUUUUUAACCUUUACGCCAAUGAAGAUCUGAGGCAAACAUUGCCCCUUUUUUAGAAGUUUGCAUUUGUCACUGAUAACUGUAAUAAUUGAUCUUGUUGAAAAGCCUGGGAAAUGAAGAUCUGAUAUGUCACUUUUACCGGCUUCCUCAACUGAAAAAGAAUACAAUGAAACACGCUGAGAAUUUUUGUGCUUUCUCAGUCUUGCUGAUGAUCUUUCUAUGGGCCUGAAGCGUGGAGAGUGCCAGAGAGGCUGAUCCUCAGCAGUGUGGCAGAGGAAAGUUGGGUGCGACUAAGGGGUAUGCGGUGCCCACAUGCCACUGGGUCCUCAGCAGUACCACCUGAUUGGAAGUGAUAUUGGUGGAAGACAACAUUUUGCCGCUUGGAAUUCUCACCUCCACACCAAAGAAGUACUGUUUUUGUCAUUUGCACCAGCUUCUUUCUCCAGGAAAGAUCAAAACGAUGCACUGCAAGUGUGAUUGGUCCAGAUAGCUGCCUUAUCCAACUGCCUCCUUUGGACCACUUCAUCAUGGGACAGCUUGAUGCAAUCUACUUGACAAGACCCUGGAACCCCACACCCCUCAUGGAACCAGUGUCCACCUCCCAGUCACAGUGUGACCCCAGGGAACUCUUGCCUGCUUGCUUUAAACCCACCACUUAAAAGUCUCCACAGAAAACCUGUUUGAAUAGUACCCUUGACCCAAUAAGGGCAUUGGCCCCUGGGUGUCUCUCUCUCUCUCUCUCUCUCUCUCUCCCUCUCUCUCCCUCUCUCUCUCUCGCUCCCUGACCUCUGCGUGUGGACUCCAGGCAUGCCAUAUACCCCUCAGGACCU